rnacentral:rRNA from 1 species
AUAUUCUGUGAGCAGGAAAGCAGGGGAUCGCAAGACCUUGCGCUGAUUGAGCGGCCGAUAUCAGAUUAGCUAGUUGGUGAGGUAAAGGCUCACCAAGGCGACGAUCUGUAGCGGGUCUGAGAGGAUGAUCCGCCACACUGGAACUGAGACACGGUCCAGACUCCUACGGGAGGCAGCAGUGGGGAAUUUUGGACAAUGGGGGCAACCCUGAUCCAGCCAUGCCGCGUGAGUGAAGAUGGCCUUCGGGUUGUAAAGCUCUUUCGGCCGGGAAGAAAUCGUAUGGGUUAAUACCCUGUGCGGAUGACGGUACCGGCAUAAGAAGCACCGGCUAACUACGUGCCAGCAGCCGCGGUAAUACGUAGGGUGCGAGCGUUAAUCGGAAUUACUGGGCGUAAAGCGUGCGCAGGCGGUUUUGUAAGACAGGCGUGAAAUCCCCGGGCUCAACCUGGGAACUGCGCUUGUGACUGCAAGGCUAGAGUAUGGCAGAGGGGGGUGGAAUUCCACGUGUAGCAGUGAAAUGCGUAGAGAUGUGGAGGAACACCAAUGGCGAAGGCAGCCCCCUGGACCAAUACUGACGCUCAUGCACGAAAGCGUGGGUAGCAAACAGGAUUAGAUACCCUGGUAGUCCACGCCCUAAACGAUGUCAACUAGGUGUUGGGUGGGUAAAACCAUUUAGUACCGGAGCUAACGCGUGAAGUUGACCGCCUGGGGAGUACGGCCGCAAGGUUAAAACUCAAAGGAAUUGACGGGGACCCGCACAAGCGGUGGAUGAUGUGGGUUAAUUCGAUGCAACGCGAAAAACCUUACCUACCCUUGACAUGUCCAGGAGCCUGAAGAGAUCUGGGUGUGCCCGAAAGGGAACUGGAACACAGGUGCUGCAUGGCUGUCGUCAGCUCGUGUCGUGAGAUGUUGGGUUAAGUCCCGCAACGAGCGCAACCCUUGUCGUUAAUUGCCAUCAUUUAGUUGGGCACUAUAACGGGACUGCCGGUGACAAACCGGAGGAAGGUGGGGAUGACGUCAAGUCCUCAUGGCCCUUAUGGGUAGGGCUUCACACGUCAUACAAUGGUCGGUACAAAGGGUUGCCAACCCGCGAGGGGGAGCCAAUCCCAGAAAGCCGAUCGUAGUCCGGAUCGCAGGCUGCAACUCGCCUGCGUGUAGUCGGAAUCGCUAGUAAUCGUGGAUCAGCAUGUCACGGUGAAUACGUUCCCGGGUCUUGUACACACCGCCCGUCACACCAUGGGAGCGGGUUCCGCCAGAAGUAGGUAGCCUAACCGCAAGGGGGGCGCUUACCACGGCGGGGUUCGAGACUGGGGUGAAGUCGGAACAAGGUA